GAUGAGCCCGCGGCCUAUCAGCUUGUUGGUGAGGUAAUGGCUCACCAAGGCUACGACGGGUAGCCGGCCUGAGAGGGCGACCGGCCACACUUGGACUGAGACACGGCCCAGACUCCUACGGGAGGCAGCAGUGGGGAAUAUUGGGCAAUGGGCGAAAGCCUGACCCAGCGACGCCGCGUGCGCUAUGAAGGCCUUCGGGUUGUAAACCGCUUUCAGCAGGG
rnacentral:rRNA from 1 species